rnacentral:rRNA from 1 species
GAUGAACGCUGGCGGCGUGCCUAAUACAUGCAAGUCGAGCGAACGGACGAGAAGCUUGCUUUUCUGAUGUUAGCGGCGGACGGGUGAGUAACACGUGGAUAACCUACCUAUAAGACUGGGAUAACUUCGGGAAACCGGAGCUAAUACCGGAUAAUAUUUUGAACCGCAUGGUUCAAAAGUGAAAGACGGUCUUGCUGUCACUUAUAGAUGGAUCCGCGCUGCAUUAGCUAGUUGGUAAGGUAACGGCUUACCAAGGCAACGAUGCAUAGCCGACCUGAGAGGGUGAUCGGCCACACUGGAACUGAGACACGGUCCAGACUCCUACGGGAGGCAGCAGUGGGGUAUCUUCCGCAAUGGGCGAAAGCCUGACGGAGCAACGCCGCGUGAGUGAUGAAGGUCUUCGGAUCGUAAAACUCUGUUAUUAGGGAAGAACAGAUGUGUAAGUAACUGUGCACAUCUUGACGGUACCUAAUCAGAAAGCCACGGCUAACUACGUG